AGAUACUAUGAACAUAAUAUAGACAACACACAGAGAACUUGUCCAUGGAAUGACAUAUCUGAAGGUCCUCACAUCACUCCUUUUCGGAUAUUUCACCUGCAUCCAGUCGACUGAGUUCUACUUCAAGUGCUUGAAGACUAAGAUAGAUUUCACGACAGCUCAAAAGCUGUGCGAGGAUGGCGGGAGGAAGCUGGUCACAAUAAGAAAUGAGCAGGAGGAGACUGGGCUUAAAGCACUAGUCAGAUCGGAGGAAUGUUCAGUAAACGCAAAUUGGAGACAUGCCUGGUUGAACUACCAAGCGGGCCGGUGGCUGGAUGGCUAUCCAUUGUUAUACAACAACUGGAAAGUUAAAAUACCCUCCACAAGAUGUGCUAAGUUUUCACUCAAUGGCUGGAUUAUAAGGAAGUGUUCUGUCGAAGCUGCUCGUGUCCUGCUGUGUGAAAAUAGAGAUGAUGAGAACGCAGGAGAAUACAAAGUACUUUUAAAGAGUACGACCAUCAUGCACACCAUUGAUGCAAUUGUUGGAACAAAUGGAAUAACUGUUACGUUUUUCGUUUCUUCUAGCACUAUGGUCCAGCUGGAGAUCUUUGACAACGAGAUAACAAUUUAUUUGUUUCUACGAGAAGGGGAACCAGUAGAACUAAUUGAAAGGAAACUGAUAGCAACUGCUGAGGAUAUCAAACUUAUGGAUGUUUCUUCUGGGGACUAUACAUCUUUCACCCCAAUAUCUAUCGACGCGAAGUUUAUUAUAUCAUUCAUAGCAGAAUCAGAUUGCACCCUCUACAAUGUCAAUGUUUUUGAAACGACAGAUACGACUGCGGAGCCAUUGAUAAGCUGGGAUAAUAGGAACUGGGUCGUGGAUGGACCUUUCAGAUACAGCUCACCUCAUGUCCUGAACGAACAGAUAAUGGAUAACCGCAUCUGCAAAGAAGGGACAUAUCUGGACACUUCUUCAGCAAGCUUGCAAUGCUCGGAUUGUCCUGCUGGAUAUUAUCAAAACUUGAAGAAUGCAACAUUCUGCAAAGCUUGUCCUCCCAUAUUCACUGGAACUGAGACUGGCCAGACAUUCUGCACUUGUAUGAGGGAUGACUGCGAGGAAAACCCUUCAGAUGAACCCAUUGUAGAAACCUCGACUGAAAAGCCAAUUGCAACAAAAAAACACACAACUAAAAUUCCGACAGAAAAACUUACGACAAAGGGACCAACAGUGAAACAAGUUACAACAGUGAAACAAGUAUCAACAGUGAAACAAGUAACAACUGUCCAACCCGCCACUGAUGCACCAGAACCUUCUAGAACCAUACCUAUAUUCCCUGGUGACGGUUCAACAACAAUGACUACAGUUGAACCAAAACCAAGGUGCACCUCCGAAGAAAGAUCCGACGGAAUUUAUGGGCAAUUUGAAUGGAGUACAGUUGAGGUAGGAGAAAUUAGUACGAGCAGGUGCUUUUACAAGACUUCAGAUGACAUUUCUUAUGCUCACCGAAGAUGCUCCAGUGGAUUCAAUAGAUGCGUAUUGGGAAACACCUGACUAUACGAAAUGUGCAACAAAGAAGGAUAUAGAAAUACGUCAAAUGACGUCAACUAAGGUAACAGAGGAAAAUGCUGUUGCGUUUGCAGAUAAUCUAAAAGAGAUGACAAACAGUAUGGAGGAAGUAUCAAGUUCGGGAGUUGAAGCCACUGUGAAUGCUUUGAAAGAACUUGAGAGUCAUACCAAACCAGAGAAUUCUCAAUCAUUUGUUGACAUAAGCAGCAAUUUAUUGGAUGCAAGUGAUGAAACCUUAAACAAAAGCAAAUCAAGCUUAAAGAAUUUGAUGACGAAAAUGGCCAAGUCAAUAGCUGAAUCCGACACUGAACAGAAAAUAUUCACCAAAAAUGUGGACAUUUUAACAAUUAAGUUUGAUGCGAACAAACCAGCUACAGUAUCUAGCAUCGACACCAAUAUUGAAAUUCCAAAAAGCCUGACUUCACAAACAAAUGGAGCAUAUUUGGUAGUGUAUAAAACUGCCAAGCUUUUCAAAGCGGUGGAAAAGGAUGAAAAGAUGGCAGUCAUAUCAGAUCUACAUUUCUCUGGAAUAAAAGUGGAGAAUUCAGAGGAGAUAAAACUCGAGUUUGAGGAGAUGCAAAAAUGGACAGUGAAUGAUUCUCAGACAAUACAGUGUGUAUUUUGGAAUGACACCUUUUGGGACGACUACGGUUGCAGAUACGACCCAGCAGUGAAAGCUUGCUUCUGCAACCAUGCCACACCAUUUACAUCAAUUCUGAGUUUUAAACAAACAGAUGUGGUGGAGCCUGUCAACCAAGUGGUGUGGUGGAUAGAAGUUAUUUGUUUCUCAGCCUCUAUAAUAAGUUGCAUUAUAUUUAUUGUCAUCAUCCUCAGUAUUAGAGGUUUAAGAAAGCUCCAGAGCUUCAAGAUGCAUUGUAUCCUGGCUGUGGCACUCCUUCUUCAGUAUACCGGAUACCUUACACUCGAUGUUGUUGAACUGGAGGGUGCACAAUGCAAAGCUAUUGGAUUUUUGGUGCACUGGAUAACGCUGGCUUGCUUCUUGGCCAUGUUUGCAGAAGCUUUAUCAGUUUACCUAGCCAUUGUCAUAGUCUUUGACACUCAUGUCAGCCAUAUUGUUAUCAAGGUCGCACUAUUUUGUUGGGGUACAACAGGCACUUUAGUUGGACUGUACGCAGGAAUAACUGAAAUGGAUCAUUACAGUUGCACCUCUAAUGGAUUUUUGAUAGCACCUUACAAUUCGUACUUCUUAACCAUACCUGUACUAUGUGUUCUUCUUAUAAACACUGUCAUGUUUGGAAGAGUGGUUUGGAAAAUGGUUCGAAAAAGCAUGACCAAGUCAGAAGGUGGUUCCAAAAGAGCACAAGUUUUGUCGCAGCUAAAAAUGAUUUUCACUCUCAACACCAUGCUGGGUGCUGGAUAUCUAAUAGGACUUGUCGCUAGCUUUUCUAUGGCUUUUGAGAUUAUGUUUGUUGUCAUCAAUGGAUUGUCAGGACUCUUCUUAUUGUGCUUAUUUGGAAUUUUCAACCCUAUGACAAAGGCUGCCAUAAGGAAGUCAUUUAGAGAGAUUGGUCCAUCGACGAGGUCAACAUAUGCAUACACAUUAAAAACAUCAGACACUAGAGAAACUCUAGAAUGAGAACCAGUGACCCUUAGCAAUUGACCUAGUUGGCCAUAAUGUAAAACACAGUUUUUUACUGGUGUCAGAAGAUCUUCUAAAAUUGAGCAAGCACUGCACAACUCCACUGAACGAACCAUGGACGAACCUUCACCAGACAUUUUGUUUAUUUUGCUGUUAUGCAUCAUGGAAUUGUGGAGAACUGGCAGUAAUUUUAAGUUUGUUUUUAAUUUUAAUACGAAAAUAGGACAGCAUAACAAAUAUGCUCUGUGUAAUUUUUUAUUUGACUAUACUUUUAUUGUUUAUUGUUUAUAUUUUCAAUUUUAUGUGAAAUGUACGAUUUUAAUAUUGAUGACAUUGGAUAUGAGCCUACUAACGAUGUUAUAGCCAUGGCAAGGAAUACUUUAUAAUGAUUAUGUACAGCUAGGAGUAAAAUGUAUUAACAGUUUUUAUUUGUUU